GACGAACGCUGGCGGCGUGCUUAACACAUGCAAGUCGAACGGAAAGGCCCUGCUUUUGUGGGGUGCUCGAGUGGCGAACGGGUGAGUAACACGUGAGUAACCUGCCCUUGACUUUGGGAUAACUUCAGGAAACUGGGGCUAAUACCGGAUAGGAGCUCCUGCUGCAUGGUGGGGGUUGGAAAGUUUCGGCGGUUGGGGAUGGACUCGCGGCUUAUCAGCUUGUUGGUGGGGUAGUGGCUUACCAAGGCUUUGACGGAUAGCCGGCCUGAGAGGGUGACCGGCCACAUUGGGACUGAGAUACGGCCCAGACCCCUACGGGAGGCAGCAGUGGGGAAUAUUGCACAAUGGGCGGAAGCCUGAUGCAGCAACGCCGCGUGCGGGAUGACGGCCUGCUGGUUGUAAACCGCUUUCGCCUGUGACGAAGCGUGAGUGACGGUAAUGGGUAAAGAAGCACCGGCUAACUACGUG
rnacentral:rRNA from 1 species